rnacentral:rRNA from 1 species
UACGUAGGUGGCAAGCGUUGUCCGGAUUUACUGGGCGUAAAGAGCGCGCAGGCGGUCGAUUUAGUCGCGUGUGAAAGCCCCCGGCUCAACUGGGGAGGGUCACGCGAUACUGAUCGACUCGAAGGCAGGAGAGGGUAGUGGAAUUCCCGGUGUAGUGGUGAAAUGCGUAGAUAUCGGGAGGAACACCAGUGGCGAAGGCGACUACCUGGCCUGUUCUUGACGCUGAGGCGCGAAAGCUAGGGGAGCAAACAGG